AUAAGGUCCUGAUUGAAGAAGACAUCAUUUGUUCCCCUGCAUCCAUCAUUUAUGAAGAAAACAUUCGUCAGCUGGCUGCAUUGGUUCACCUUCCAGUGAAACAGUGUCCCCACAAAAUAUUGACUGGAUUGUUGUGCCAAAGCCUCCUCCCAUUUGAGUGUAUCAUUCAAGAAAGGUGUACUGCCCUCAGUGUUGAAUGGGUUUGUUCUCAUGGUCAUGUUUUCUGGAGUUGGACCUCACAGCCGACCUUCAAGUUUGGGAUAUUUGCAGAUCUACUGCUGACAUUGAGGCAUUUCAGAGCCACAUUCUGAUGUAUGCCAGCAAACGCUCCGCAUUCUCACCAUAAGUCUACAAAACCAGAGUUCUACUUGCUGCCCUUGACUACAACUUUCAGCUGAACAGACUGCCUAUGCUGUCUAAUGAUGGCAAGAAGAUAUGAGUUUUAUAUGCACACAAGGACAUUACAAUUUACUUCCCAAGAUAGGUCUUGAUUGCAA